GGGCAGUCAUAAAGAAGCUGCGACGAAGGGGCUUCGGAUGAUUGGUGAAGCGAGGGCUCGUUUCCAGAAGAUCGGAGCUAGCCAUCUCCUAUUCGCUUACUCCAUGGCAGCGACGACGAAAAUGAGGUCGCAUUCGAUCUUACAAAGCGGCAAUGCUUUGUCUGGUUUCAUGGCAGUAAAAUCUACAACUAUUUUCGUUUCACUCCUCAAAAAGAGGAUGACUCGGAAGCUUUUGCAAUGAUUAAAGAACUGUUGGAGACUUGUAUCCGACCUGAAGUACAAGAUGAUGGUGGAGACAUUGAGUACAGGGGUUUUGAUCCGUAGGCUUCUUCUCAUCUUCUGUUUGAUUGAAAUUACUAUGUUUAAUGUUGAAGGCAAUUGAAUGAUUUCCUUUAUUUCUGAGACUUGGUAGCUAAUCCUUAUGCAAAAUUUUCCUUUUUUGCCUAGUACCCUUGUGCAUAUUUUCCUUUGCUCAGUGAUACUGGAGUAGUUAAACUAAGAAUGCAAGGAACAUGUAGUGGCUGUCCAAGCUCAUCCGUGACUCUGAAAUCUGGCAUUGAGAACAUGUUGAUGCACUAUGUACCUGGGGUUAAAGGUGUGGAGCAGGAACUUGACGAAGAAGAAAAAGAGACAAUGCUACCUGGUUAGGUGGAGGCAUUACUUCCAAUAGUUUUCAACCCAUUUCCCAGAUAGAACAAGCCAUAUCGCUAUUGUUCGUGUUCAAGAAAGUGGGUCCAAGCCUAAAGAAAGAGGCCCAAAGGCCUAUCGGAAGAAGAAAUUUAUGGAAACAAGUGAUAGGUACAUGAAAUCAUCGGAUGACCAAGAGACCAAGAGAUAAUCGAAUGACCUCACUUGAGAAUCUCUCUCGAGGCCUUCAAGAGACCCUUUUGGGACCUCAUGUGUCACUUGACCACUACUAUUUAAGAGACUUGAGGGCCACCUAGACUCAGAAACCUCUCUCCCAACUGCGUGAGAGACUCUUUCGGGAGACUACGAACCCUGAGAUACUUGAUCUCCAAACACUACUCACCUUCAACGUUCUCACCUAUAAAUCUAGAAGAGAGCCCGAAAUACCUACCGAUGAUUGUGUCUCUCCCUUCACUUGUCAGUCCUCUCCUUAUAAAUAAGAGAUUCCUUUUUUAGUAAAGUUAUGUUAAUAAUUCUGCUGAGUAUCAUAGAGUCAGCAAGUGACCUCACUCGCGCCCCUGACUGAUUUAUUCUUUACGGGUCUUCCGAAAAUUUUAUGAGAUACUCUCUUGCAUCUCAUUAAGACACUCUUUCGCACAAAAAAAAUAUUAUUAUAUAUUAACAAUAACUAUAAAUAGCCUUCAUUUACAAAAGUUAGUAGUCCCAAAGAAAGCAUGUUGUUGUGCUGCCUGUCUGCAAUGUCUUUUUUCUUCUUUUUUAUUCAUUGAUAAGAAUCCUAGGGAAUUUCUUUUAUACUUGUAAAGAUGAUAAAAAUUAAUGAUUUCAUACUUUCAAUGCAUUUGUUGUGA